rnacentral:tRNA from 1 species
CGAGGAGUAGAGAAGUGGUCAUCUCACCAGCCUCAUAAGCUGGGAAUCGAGGGUUAGAGUCCUUCCUCCUCAA